GGUAGUAAAAGUCGUAACAAGGUCUCCGUUGGUGAACCAGCGGAGGGAUCAUUACUGGAAUCGCAAGAUCCCACAACCCUGUGAACCUACCGAAACGUUGCCUCGGCGGGUGCCCGGCCUCUGCGCCGGGCGCUGCGCCCGCCGGCGGCCCCCUACUCUGUCUCUGCAGCGUGGCAUCUCAGAGUCCCAGAAAACAAGUCAAAACUUUCAACAACGGAUCUCUUGGCUCUA
rnacentral:misc_RNA from 1 species